UCCACCGCGAGGUGGAAUCUGAAUGAAGUCGAAGGCAAAAUCUCGGUCUGAGAAACAAAACAAAGUUCAAUACUACCCAAGUCCCUAGGAGUAAAUAUAGCAGAUAUAUGAGAUGAAGGUUGUUGUU
rnacentral:ncRNA from 1 species